rnacentral:rRNA from 1 species
UGAGUAACACGUAUCCAACCUGCCGUCUACUCUUGGACAGCCUUCUGAAAGGAAGAUUAAUACAAGAUGGCAUCAUGAGUCCGCAUGUUCACAUGAUUAAAGGUGUUCCGGUAGACGAUGGGGAUGCGUUCCAUUAGAUAGUAGGCGGGGUAACGGCCCACCUAGUCUUCGAUGGAUAGGGGUUCUGAGAGGAAGGUCCCCCACAUUGGAACUGAGACACGGUCCAA